UUAGUGGGGAGCUCAAUGGAAACUCUCAUUCAGACAAGACUGUCCAUGCUGUGCAUUGGGACCUCCCUUGUGUUUGGCCCCAUUCUGGGAAAGAGCUGGCGACUCUACAAGGUGUUUACCCAAAGGGUCCCGGACAAGAGAGUGGUGACAGGGAAAGACGUGUCCUGCACUUCGACCAGCACCCACUUCUGUGCUUCCCGG
rnacentral:lncRNA from 1 species